rnacentral:rRNA from 1 species
CCUACGGGAGGCAGCAGUAGGGAAUCUUCCGCAAUGGACGAAAGUCUGACGGAGCAACGCCGCGUGAACGAUGAAGGCCUUCGGGUCGUAAAGUUCUGUUGUUAGGGAAGAACAAGUGCUAGUUAAAUAGGCUGGCACCUUGACGGUACCUAACCAGAAAGCCACGGCUAACUACGUGCCAGCAGCCGCGGUAAUACGUAGGUGGCAAGCGUUGUCCGGAAUUAUUGGGCGUAAAGCGCGCGCAGGCGGUUUCUUAAGUCUGAUGUGAAAGCCCCCGGCUCAACCGGGGAGGGUCAUUGGAAACUGGGAAACUUGAGUGCAGAAGAGGAAAGUGGAAUUCCAAGUGUAGCGGUGAAAGUGCGUAGAGAUUUGGAGGAACACCAGUGGCGAAGGCGACUUUCUGGUCUGUAACUGACGCUGAGGCGCGAAAGCGUGGGGAGCAAACAGGAUUAGAUACCCUGGUAGUCCACGCUGUAAACGAUGAGUGCUAAGUGUUAGAGGGUUUCCGCCCUUUAGUGCUGAAGUUAACGCAUUAAGCACUCCGCCUGGGGAGUACGGUCGCAAGACUGAAACUCAAAGGAAUUGACGG